UACAGAGGGUGCAAGCGUUAAUCGGAAUUACUGGGCGUAAAGCGCGCGUAGGCGGCUUGACAAGUCGAGCGUGAAAUCCCCGGGCUUAACCUGGGAGCUGCAUUCGAAACUGUCUUGCUAGAGUAUGGGAGAGGGAGGUGGAAUUUCAGGUGUAGCGGUGAAAUGCGUAGAUAUCUGAAGGAACAUCAGUGGCGAAAGCGACCUCCUGGACCAAUACUGACGCUCAGGUGCGAAAGCGUGGGGAGCAAACAGG
rnacentral:rRNA from 1 species